ACAGCAGCAGCCGCGGUAAUACGUAGGUGGCAAACGUUAUCCGGAAUUACUGGGCGUAAAGCGCGCGUAGGCGGAUAGGUCAGUCUGUCUUAAAAGUUCGGGGCUUAACCCCGUGAUGGGAUGGAAACUGCCAAUCUAGAGUAUCGGAGAGGAAAGUGGAAUUCCUAGUGUAGCGGUGAAAUGCGUAGAUAUUAGGAAGAACACCAGUGGCGAAGGCGACUUUCUGGACGAAAACUGACGCUGAGGCGCGAAAGCCAGGGGAGCGAACGGGAUUAGAUACCCCUGUAGUCCCUGUCUCUUAUACC
rnacentral:rRNA from 1 species